CCUACGCGAGGCUGCAGUGGGGAAUAUUGGGCAAUGGAGGCAACUCUGACCCAGCAACGCCGCGUGAAUGAUGAAGGUCUUCGGAUUGUAAAGUUCUGUGAUGGGGGAUGAACACAAUGACGGUACCCCAAUAGCAAGCAACGGCUAACUACGUGCCAGCAGCCGCGGUAAUACGGAGGUGGCAAGCGUUAUCCGGAAUGACUGGGCGUAAAGGGUGCGUAGGUGGUUUAGUAAGCUGACGGUGUAAUUCCGGGGCUCAACCUCGGCGCUACCGCCAAAACUAUUAGACUAGAGUGCAGGAGGGGUAAGUGGAAUUCCUAGUGUAGCGGUGGAAUGCGUAGAUAUUAGGAGGAACAUCAGGGGCGAAGGCGACUUACUGGACUGUAACUGACACUGAGGCACGAAAGCGUGGGGAGCAAACAGGAUUAGAUACCCCAGUAGUC
rnacentral:rRNA from 1 species